GCUCAGGACGAACGCUGGCGGCGCGCCUAACACAUGCAAGUCGAACGGAGCUUAGAGAGCUUGCUUUUUAAGCUUAGUGGCGAACGGGUGAGUAACGCGUGAGUAACCUGCCCUAGAGUGGGGGACAACAGUUGGAAACGACUGCUAAUACCGCAUAAGCCCACGGUGCCGCAUGACACUGAGGGAAAAGGAUUUAUUCGCUUUAGGAUGGACUCGCGUCCAAUUAGCUAGUUGGUGAGGUAACGGCCCACCAAGGCGACGAUUGGUAGCCGGACUGAGAGGUUGAACGGCCACAUUGGGACUGAGACACGGCCCAGACUCCUACGGGAGGCAGCAGUGGGGGAUAUUGCACAAUGGGGGAAACCCUGAUGCAGCGACGCCGCGUGGAGGAAGAAGGUUUUCGGAUUGUAAACUCCUGUCGUUAGGGACGAUAAUGACGGUACCUAACAAGAAAGCACCGGCUAACUACGUGCCAGCAGCCGCGGUAAAACGUAGGGUGCAAGCGUUGUCCGGAAUUACUGGGUGUAAAGGGAGCGCAGGCGGGAAGACAAGUUGGAAGUGAAAACCAUGGGCUCAACCCAUGAAUUGCUUUCAAAACUGUUUUUCUUGAGUAGUGCAGAGGUAGAUGGAAUUCCCGGUGUAGCGGUGGAAUGCGUAGAUAUCGGGAGGAACACCAGUGGCGAAGGCGGUCUACUGGGCACCAACUGACGCUGAGGCUCGAAAGCAUGGGUAGCAAACAGGAUUAGAUACCCUGGUAGUCCAUGCCGUAAAC
rnacentral:rRNA from 1 species